UUGGAGGGCAAGUCUGGUGCCAGCAGCCGCGGUAAUUCCAGCUCCAAUAGCGUAUAUUAAAGUUGUUGCAGUUAAAAACGCUCGUAGUUGAAUUUCGAGAUCAGUACGCUGGUCGUGCCUCGGUAUGCACUGGUGUCACUGGUUUCUCCUUCUGAAGAACCGUCAUGUCAUUAAGUUGGUGUGGCGGGUAAUCAGGACUGUUACUUGAAAAACUUAGAGUGUUUAAACGCAGGCUCGCGCUUGAAUACAUUAGCAUGGAAUAACUGAA
rnacentral:rRNA from 1 species